rnacentral:rRNA from 1 species
UACGUAGGGGGCGAGCGUUGUCCGGAAUUAUUGGGCGUAAAGCGCGCGCAGGCGGUUUUUUAAGUUCGUGGUGAAAGACCGGGGCUCAACCCCGGAGCGUCCGCGAAGACUGGAAGACUGGAGUGUCGGAGAGGAGUGCGGAAUACCUGGUGUAGCGGUGGAAUGCGUAGAGAUCAGGUGGAACACCGAUGGCGAAGGCAGCACUCUGGCCGAAUACUGACGCUGAGGCGCGAAAGCGUGGGGAGCGAACGGG